UUUAACCAGAAAGCCACGGCUAACUACGUGCCAGCAGCCGCGGUAAUACGUAGGUGGCAAGCGUUGUCCGGAUUUAUUGGCGUAAAGCGAGCGCAGGCGGUUUUUUAAGUCUGAUGUGAAAGCCUUCGGCUCAACCGAAGAAGUGCAUCGGAAACUGGGAAACUUGAGUGCAGAAGAGGACAGUGGAACUCCAUGUGUAGCGGUGAAAUGCGUAGAUAUAUGGAAGAACACCAGUGGCGAAGGCGGCUGUCUGGUCUGUAACUGACGCUGAGGCUCGAAAGUAUGGGUAGCAAACAGGAUUAGAUACCCUGGUAGUCCAUACCGUAAACGAUGAAUGCUAAGUGUUGGAGGGUUUCCGCCCUUCAGUGCUGCAGCUAACGCAUUAAGCAUUCCGCCUGGGGAGUACGGCCGCAAGGCUGAAACUCAAAGGAAUUGACGGGGGCCCGCACAAGCGGUGGAGCAUGUGGUUUAAUUCGAAGCUACGCGAAGAACCUUACCAGGUCUUGACAUACUAUGCAAAUCUAAGAGAUUAGACGUUCCCUUCGGGGACAUGGAUACAGGUGGUGCAUGGUUGUCGUCAGCUCGUGUCGUGAGAUGUUGGGUUAAGUCCCGCAACGAGCGCAACCCUUAUUAUCAGUUGCCAGCAUUAAGUUGGGCACUCUGGUGAGACUGCCGGUGACAAACCGGAGGAAGGUGGGGAUGACGUCAAAUCAUCAUGCCCCUUAUGACCUGGGCUACACACGUGCUACAAUGGAUGGUACAACGAGUUGCGAACUCGCGAGAGUAAGCUAAUCUCUUAAAGCCAUUCUCAGUUCGGAUUGUAGGCUGCAACUCGCCUACAUGAAGUCGGAAUCGCUAGUAAUCGCGGAUCAGCAUGCCGCGGUGAAUACGUUCCCGGGCCUUGUACACACCGCCCGUCACACCAUGAGAGUUUGUAACACCCAAAGUCGGUGGGGUAACCUCUAGGAACCAGCCGC
rnacentral:rRNA from 1 species